rnacentral:rRNA from 1 species
UACGGAGGGGGUUAGCGUUGUUCGGAAUUACUGGGCGUAAAGCGCACGUAGGCGGAUUAGAAAGUUGGGGGUGAAAUCCCGGGGCUCAACCUCGGAACUGCCUCCAAAACUCCUAGUCUAGAGUUCGAGAGAGGUGAGUGGAAUUCCAAGUGUAGAGGUGAAAUUCGUAGAUAUUUGGAGGAACACCAGUGGCGAAGGCGGCUCACUGGCUCGAUACUGACGCUGAGGUGCGAAAGUGUGGGGAGCAAACAGG